rnacentral:misc_RNA from 1 species
CAGCAACAAGGUCUCAGAGAAGGUAAAGGUGUCACUCUUAGAUUAAUCUUCUACAAUAGCACGUGAUAAAAUAGUUUUCUAGUUGGUAUAGAUUGUUGUUUCAUAUAACCAUCAGGAAGUUUGGCACUGCCUUGAUGGAAGCAUCUGGUGUAUUCCUUAGCACUAAGCUGGUGAAAAUUUUAACAUUUCAAAUAUUCAUUUCUUCUAGUUUAUCAAGAGGCUUUGGUAAAAGCAAGUUAGUUGGUGUAGGGUUUAGAAAGUUAUUCCCACAUACAUCCUCUAUUAUCCAAAAAACAAAGGGAUGAUCCUAAUUUACAAGGUUGUCAUUUCAAUUUAUUUAAUCUUUCUAGCUUUAGAACACUUGUAUUCAGUUAUUAUUACAUUGAUUCUCAGGUUGACGUUUUCUCCUAUGGAAUUGUUUUGUGGGAGAAUCUCACUGGUAAGAGCCGUAUGCCAACAUGCAUUAUGGCGCAAUCAUAGGUGCAAUUCUACUACUUUUUUGCUUCUUCCUGUCAAGAUGAUCCAGUUUGCGUGAAGAGUCAAUUAUCAAGUCAUAUGGGGUCUCAAAUUGAAUAUUAUAUUAUUUUGGAAAUGGGCUUUGGGAUUUUGAGUAUUUUGAUUUACUAACUAGGGAAUGUUGAAUGAAAUUUAGUUUGACAACAAUGGCUAUACCUAAUCUAUGUAAGAACCUGGAAUAAUUGUACUUUAGUAAUAGUACAUGAUCUAGAAUAAUUGUACUUUAGGUUCUAGCUGUAUAUUUGUGCAUGCAGCGUCUUUGUUAAAUCUAUCCUUCCUUGUAUGC